GACGAACGCUGGCGGCGUGCCUAAUACAUGCAAGUCGAGCGGACAGAAGGGAGCUUGCUCCCGGAUGUUAGCGGCGGACGGGUGAGUAACACGUGGGUAACCUGCCUGUAAGACUGGGAUAACUCCGGGAAACCGGAGCUAAUACCGGAUAGUUCCUUGAACCGCAUGGUUCAAGGAUGAAAGACGGUUUCGGCUGUCACUUACAGAUGGACCCGCGGCGCAUUAGCUAGUUGGUGAGGUAACGGCUCACCAAGGCGACGAUGCGUAGCCGACCUGAGAGGGUGAUCGGCCACACUGGGACUGAGACACGGCCCAGACUCCUACGGGAGGCAGCAGUAGGGAAUCUUCCGCAAUGGACGAAAGUCUGACGGAGCAACGCCGCGUGAGUGAUGAAGGUUUUCGGAUCGUAAAGCUCUGUUGUUAGGGAAGAACAAGUGCAAGAGUAACUGCUUGCACCUUGACGGUACCUAACCAGAAAGCCACGGCUAACUACGUGCCAGCAGCCGCGGUAAGAC
rnacentral:rRNA from 1 species